rnacentral:rRNA from 1 species
UACGUAGGGUGCAAGCGUUGUCCGGAAUUAUUGGGCGUAAAGAGCUCGUAGGCGGUCUGUCGCGUCUGGUGUGAAAAUCCAGGGCUUAACCCUGGACCUGCAUCGGGUACGGGCAGACUAGAGUGUGGUAGGGGAGAUCGGAAUUCCUGGUGUAGCGGUGAAAUGCGCAGAUAUCAGGAGGAACACCGGUGGCGAAGGCGGAUCUCUGGGCCAUAACUGACGCUGAGGAGCGAAAGCAUGGGGAGCGAACAGG